CGGGAGUGUGGCUCGGCGGGGACGCGCAGGCGGUGCGGCGCCGGGGGAAGGACUGCUCCGUGCGCUCUUCACCUGUGGGCGUGACCGCCGGCCCCCUCCUCCUCCUUCUUUCUACUUGAAGGACCGGCGCCGCUAUAGCGGCAGAGCCUAAGAUCGGAGCUGGUGUCGCGUUGUGAGGGGCGAUUUGCUGCCGGCGCCUAGCCGCCUUGUAAAGUGUCCCGCCCGCCUCGGAUCCGGCCGCCUUUCGCGCCGAAUCGGCUCCGUCGAGCCCGCAGGACAACCGGGAGGGGAGAACAGGCUGGACUCGCCGCGGGGGACGGGGCUCCUCUCCGCCCGCCGGGCAGGGCUGUCUGUCUACGCUGUCUCAGCUGCCCUCAGAGCCGUUGGCGGGUACAGCCGCUGCCAGCUCCUCUGCAGGUGCCGGGCGCGGAUUGCUCUCGCCCCACGGAGCUGCCCGGAGGAGUUCUGCCCCACGGGCGGUUGGCCGUGGCCGUCGCCGUGCCCUCGACCCUCCGUGCCCCCUGCCCCAGCGGCCAUGCUGCCCGUGGCCGGGAGGCGGCGGCGGCCUGAGCGGGGCUCGCCUUAGAGCGGCGGGCGGGCGGCCGGAGGGGCUGGGCUCCCCGCGGUAGUGUCGCCUCGGCCCGGGCCCAGCCUGCCUCUGGACGGGGCGGAGGAGGCAGGGGCAGGACAACAGCGGAACAACUUUGCACCUUGAAAAAAGGAAAGGGGGAAAAAGACUCGUGGGACUUGAUCGAAGCUCAGCACCACGCGAGGAUUCCGAGCCCUAGUAAACCUCACCACCGCACCACAGUGACGGGAGGAAAAGCUGGUGGCUGCCACUGUGCCCAAGUCCUGCAGGCUCUAGAGUUGCCUUGGUUUCUGGCUGGAAGAUGAUUCCUGCAAAAGGACCAUGUUGCUGCUGACGGACCGCGGGUUCAUUGGAAGAUGCUUUCCUUGAGGAUUACACGUGGAAAAGGGCCAUCAGUCAAGGGGAGAGCUUGCUGGUGAAACUGACUGAUUUCCAACCCCCACCCCCACUGGGGAAGUGGCUUCAAUGGCUCCAUCUCCCAGGAGAAGUGGUAGGAAAGAUGCCAACGCUUUGCCAAGCAUGUCCUCAACUUUCUGGGCGAUCAUGAUCCUGGCUAGUCUGCUGAUCGCUUACUGCAGUCAACUGGCUGCAGGUACAUGUGAGAUUGUUACUUUGGACAGAGAUAGCAGUCAGCCCCGAAGGACUAUAGCCCGACAAACAGCUCGCUGUGCAUGUAAAAAAGGACAGAUUGCCGGUACAACAAGAGCAAGGCCAGCCUGUGUUGAUGCACGAAUUAUCAAAACAAAACAGUGGUGUGAAAUGCUUCCAUGUUUAGAAGGAGAAGGCUGUGAUUUGCUAAUCAAUAAAUCAGGCUGGACCUGUACACAACCAGGAGGACGGAUAAAGACAACCACGACUGAAGACCAGCUGGAAAUGUCCUGAGGCCAUGGUCUAGUGGUCUGAGCUUGGGACUGGGAGCCAGAAACUCCUGAGCUCUAAUCCCGGCUCUGACAGUGACUCCCUCUGUGGCCUUGGCCUGUCUGAGGCCAUGUGGUUUGGAGAUCUGAUCACUAGUCCGAAAAGGAAAGGCUGUUUGCAAGAUUUCUGGGGUGUUUUUUCCUGGAAAAGGUCUCCUGACAAAUGCAGCAACACAGAAUCCUCGUAGGAGUGGUUUAGGCUCUGUGUGAGCUACUUAGUCAAGUUUCACUGCUGUUGAUCAUCAUUCGUUAUAUGUCAUCAACUCAACUGUCUGUUUCUCUGUAUCUCAUGAAUGACAGCAUAAUUCCUCUACAUUAUGAGCUAAAGUUUGUUCUACCAUAUUAAGGAUCACGGGACUAAGGAAUCUAGAAAAAGAGAUAUGCUUGGGCAUUAGCAAUACAAAAAAGUUCAUGGUUAACGUUUCAUCUGCGUUAUACACCACUGCUGGACUUGCUGUUACCUACAUGUUUUAAUUCGAAGAGUCUGCUACAAUGAAGAGUAUCAUCCCAGUCAGCCUUAGAGAAGACUGUUUUGCCUAUGGGAGGACACUGAGGUGCAAAAGAGAAACUCUUCUUGUGCCCUAAACUGUCUGAAUUGCUUUUAUUUUCUUAUACUUUCAGUAUAUACAAUAGACCAAAGAGCAAAAUCUAUUUUAAAGUGGACACAAUCUUACUGUUAACAGAGUUAUGUCAUUAAAUUGUAGGAGGUCUCCACAAAGACAUGAUUCCAGCUUUCACAAAGCUGAGCUGUUGUUGUUCAGCAGAAGUCUUUAUGGAAAACUGCAGUAAAAACUAACUCAGAGACCUACUCUUGAAAUGCCACGUUCGAGAGAACAUAAUGGAGCACUGAGUUUGAAAAACUUGGACAAAAAGAACACAAACUGUCUACACGGCACCUUUAUUCCUCUGUACUUAGAUUGACUUUCUCGUACUAAAAUCAUUUUCAGUUUUAACCAGUUAAACAUGCCUCUUCUACAGUUCCAUUUUUGAUAGUUAAAGUUGGAUAAUACAGUAUUUGCAAAGAGCAUGUUUGGUCAUCUGUGGCCUGUCUCAUCUGAAACACCAUUUAGCACCAGAAAGCAAAUUAAAGAGAAAACAAAAAGUAACACUUGUUUGAAAGAGAUCAUUAAAUGUAUUUUGAAAAGCCUAAAGUUAUAUAUUUAACAGUUUUUAUAUGUUGUAUAUUUGUAGAAAAUCCUAUUUAACAAUUAACGUGAUAACUCUGACAGUCAUGACAAGUGGUUCAGAGUCAAGUUGUGUUUUAUUACUUCAGUUGUCUCUGAAGUGACUGGUAUCGUUUGCUUUCUUCCAUUGGGACAUUCUGGAUGUAAAGCAUGACCAGAGAGGACUGUGUAGAAAAAGCAAAGAAUAAUGUUGUUUAUAUUACAUAAAUGCAUUCAACCAUU